AACGUCACAGGCAUAGGACUUUCAGUGUUAUUUUGUUCGCAUUUCCUUGCAAAAAAUAGCGCCAAAUACCUCAAAUAUCACUCCAAAAUGUGCACUAACAAGGAGUACAAUGAGAGCUACUUCUACGAGUACAACAUUCCUCAGCAAAGGAUCUAUUCGCCGAGAAGAGCAGCAUUAUCCUGAAAUGAUGGAUCUCAUCGCAUACGACUUUCCGGGAAGCCGACAAACUGCCAAACUUCUACCGGCGCCACGACAAGGCGGCGGAGCGGAUUGCCGGCGCAGGGGGCGAUUGAGGAGGUGCUGCAGCACAAGCUGACAGGCUGCAGGAAGUCGCACGAGGGCAAAAUCAGACACAAAGCCGGGCGUGCAGCAACUCACGGCCGGGAAGGCGUCGGCCGCCGUGAAUUGCCUCACGGACACGUCGAAGUGAUCUGUAGCUUCGGCUCGCGAUACUCC